rnacentral:rRNA from 1 species
GACGAACGCUGGCGGCAUGCUUAACACAUGCAAGUCGAACGGAAAGGCCCUGCUUUUGUGGGGUGCUCGAGUGGCGAACGGGUGAGUAACACGUGAGUAACCUGCCCUUGACUUUGGGAUAACUUCAGGAAACUGGGGCUAAUACCGGAUAGGAGCUCCUGCUGCAUGGUGGGGGUUGGAAAGUUUCGGCGGUUGGGGAUGGACUCGCGGCUUAUCAGCUUGUUGGUGGGGUAGUGGCUUACCAAGGCUUUGACGGGUAGCCGGCCUGAGAGGGUGACCGGCCACAUUGGGACUGAGAUACGGCCCAGACUCCUACGGGAGGCAGCAGUGGGGAAUAUUGCACAAUGGGCGGAAGCCUGAUGCAGCAACGCCGCGUGCGGGAUGACGGCCUUCGGGUUGUAAACCGCUUUCGCCUGUGACGAAGCGUGAGUGACGGUAAUGGGUAAAGAAGCACCGGCUAACUACG